UAAGCGUGCCCGAGAGUUCAGGGGUUAUUUUGAUGAAAUAAACACAGAGAAUAUACUCUCGCUUCCA
rnacentral:tRNA from 1 species